rnacentral:rRNA from 1 species
AUGGUGAUACAAGCCUCUCAACCGUCCUCCGCGGAUCCAACAGAUGCCAGGGGCGAACCUGCCUCUCAGCCUGAAAAGUCAAAGGUUGAGGAGGAGUUGAAGAAAGCAGCUACACAUCGGUCUCGGCCUAGCUGCUAUUAUUACUAUUACUUCAAUGAAGGAGAUCCUCAGAAUUAUUCUGAUGAUUUGGAGAUGGAACAAGGACUAUUACCUGUUGUUAUGUUCCCAGAUAAACAGGUUCAGGUCGAGGAGUGGAAGAUAGAAGCACAACAGUUUGAGACUGAUUUUGGCGAGAUGGAAAUGAAGAUUCAUAGGUUCCCUGCAAGCACGCGGAGCCUUGGACGGCGUUAUAUCCUCCCAAUGGCUGUGAGCAUCGGUCUUUACCACCAUGGCUCAAGUAGCCUGCAUGAGAUGGAGAAGGUGAAGCGCGUGGCUACACACCACUUCAUCAGUUACUCAGGCCGCUCAUUUGAGGAGAUGUAUGCGGCGGUCUUCUCCGUCAUAGGUGCUGCCCGCAGCUUCUACGACACCAAGGAUUCCAAGGUCGACGUAGGAGAUGCUGAAUUUGCGGACAUGAUGUUCAUCGAUGGUUGCUUCUUGCUGCAGUAUAUGCUUAUGUGUACCGGCCUUGGCAAGCUGCCUCCGUCAUUAUUGUCUUGCUUCAAGUCCAACGAGGCUUGCAUCAUCAACGACAUAAUGCUGCUCGAGAAUCAACUUCCCUGGAUGGUGGUCAACAUCCUAAGGACGUUCAGGUCCGUGCCUGUGGAGGAGUUUAUCGGUAAGAUGGGACGCACACUCCAAAUCCGUGGGGACAUGCACAGGAGACCAGUUGUGAUGGAUGCUUGCUACAUGCCGCCACAUCUUCUUGGCAUCCUCCUGUUCUACAAAGCCGGAGGCAUAAAUAAUAAUGUGCCCCUGUCUGUUCCAGAUGGUUUUAGAUCCAUGUCAAAGAGUAUUAGCGCCAUUGAGCUUGCAGAGAUUGGCAUUAAGCUCACAGCCGGCAAGACGACAAAGUUCAUGGACACGGGCAUCAAGAAAACAUUCCUCUCUGCCGAGAUCUUCCUGGCACCUCUGUUGCUGGACGACAUAAGGUCCUGCUGGCUUGUCAACAUGGCGGCUUUCGAGGUAUGCCUGGGCAUGGCAGCUGGUGCUCAUCAAAGUACAGCAGUCGUCUGCUCCUACCUUGCUGUCCUCGCCAUGCUCAUGGAUCGGGAGGAGGACGUGCACGAGCUGCGAUCCAAGCGCCUGGUGCAGGGAGAACUCACCAACAAAGAGACGCUUGACUUCUUCAAGAUGCUUGUCAAGUGCAUAAGUGGCGGCCCCCUCUACAUUCAAAUCAUGGAGGAGGUUGAGGCCUACAAGCUCAACAGGUGGAUGUGGAUCAAGGUGCACCAGUUCGUCUACAAAAACUUCAAAGCAAUCGUCACGGUGCUCUCCAUCACUGGUGUUCUUGUGGGCAUCUUCAAGGCUAUCCUCUCUCUCAAGAGACACUAG